GAUGAAGAACGCAGCGAAAUGCGAUAAGUAGUGUGAAUUGCAGAAUUCAGUGAAUCAUCGAAUCUUUGAACGCACAUUGCGCCUUCUAGUAUUCUGGGAGGCAUGCCUGUUUGAGCGUCAUUAAACCUCUCUCAAGUAUGAUUACUUGGAUGUGAAGGAAGAGUACCUUAAACUUAAGGAGUGUUCUCCUUUGAAAUUGAUUAGCAGAUGGUAAUGUUAUAAAUCCCUGAUGUUGUAAGAAAUAACAGUGGUUUUGUAGACUAUUAUCUAGCUUUAAAUUAUAAUUUUUAUUAUGGUUGACCUCAAAUCAGGUAAGGAUACCCGCUGAACUUAAGCAUAUCAAUAAGCGGAGGA
rnacentral:misc_RNA from 1 species